UACGUAGGGGGCAAGCGUUGUCCGGAAUCAUUGGGCGUAAAGCGCGUGUAGGCGGCCCGGUAAGUCCGCUGUGAAAGUCCAGGGCUCAACCCUGGAAUGCCGGUGGAUACUGUCGGGCUCGAGUCCGGAAGAGGAGAAUGGAAUUCCCGGUGUAGCGGUGAAAUGCGCAGAUAUCGGGAAGAACACCCGUGGCGAAGGCGGUUCUCUGGGACGGUACUGACGCUGAGACGCGAAAGCGUGGGGAGCGAACAGG
rnacentral:rRNA from 1 species